ensembl:lncRNA
GUACUGAAUGUAGUUACUUUUCAUUUUAAAACAGAGCUGAUACACAGCUGUACAGUGGCCGUUUUGACAUUGUACAGGAUGAUGACAGGAUAGUCAGCGUUAACUCGGAUCAUCAGAACGCUCUUUAUCAUGCUGUAGCACAAGCAACUGGCAGCGAGACAAAGGACCUAAAGACAGAAGCUUUGAUGCUACGUAAGAAAGUGAAAAAUGAGAUCCAGACAAACUUUGAGUCGUACACCCCCCUGCUUAUUCUCCAGAGAGGAUACAACUUCUGUCACAAAAAUCCCAGUAAAUACAGCAUAACUGGAGGAAGUAUAAAGAAGACCGAUGUUGCUCUGCAGAAAUACUUACAGAGUGUUAAAUUCAUCAGAAGUGGUGAACGAAUCCUCAUCAAAAUGUACCAUCUUGGAUUUGUUGGUGAAUAUAAAAGUGUUGUAAGUGCUCGGAGGUCCAGUAAGAACACCACAGGGACACUUAACACAAGCCACAUUCCACCGAAGGACUCCAUCAGACUUGCUGAGUCUUUCAUAGAUAACCCAAACUCAGUGAGUGAGCUUAAAAAUAAAAACCUGCCGCUUUAUAAACUAAUCAACAGCAUGAAGACUAACAAUAAUGGAUGGAACCUGAUUGCCAUGGAGGUUCUGGGACAAGAUCACAGACGAGCUUUAACUACGGGCCCAAGCAGCCACUCACAGACAGCCAGGAAACUUCUAGCAGACACCAUAAUUAGUGGAGACGUGGAGCUUCUGCUGAAACGCUGCAUGAUUCUACAUCACCCGCUCACCUCACAAAAGCUGAGAGAAGCUCUAGGUGAAAGCAUUCCCUCUCAGUGCCACGUUUUGUCCGAUGAAGGUAUCCGAGGCUACUACAAAGCAGGAUACAGAAACCUGGUGUCAGAGUACAGUCGCAUGGGAAUCCUGGAUCAGAACCAGUGUGAGCGUCUGGACGAGUGGGUGACUCAGGACCAGCACGAGGACACUAACACUGCAGAGUACAGCCAGGUUCUGCAGGGGUUAAAGUGUUAGUGAACAAGUUCUCUUCAGCGCCUUAUGAUAAAUAUGAUUGUGAUAAAGACGAUGACUACAGAAAGCAGGAAUUUAUUAAUCUCUGAAAUUGCAUUCACGGCAAAAAAAAAUAAAAAUAAUAAUAAUAGCA